CCUACGGGAGGCAGCAGUGGGGAAUCUUGCGCAAUGGGCGAAAGCCUGACGCAGCAACGCCGCGUGGGGGAAGAAGGCCUUCGGGUUGUAAACCUCUUUCAGUAGGGACGAAGCUUCCGGGGUUAAUAGCCUACGGGGUGA
rnacentral:rRNA from 1 species